UCAUUGAUAUGUAAUAUUAUUAUAUGAGUAGUAUGUUAGUAUGAAAUGUGAUUGUAUUGACUUCGUUGGUGGAUUUGAAUAUUUAUAAUAUCCGUGGUACAAAAAUGAUACUCACGACGGCCAAGGGACCGCUGAUAUUACGUCACCUCCCGUGUCCAUCAUCAGAUCAGCUCGAUGGUACCCAAAUAUUGCAUUAUCACUCAACUCGUAGAUUUAUAAGGCUAGAUUCCUAGUCCAUACAUCCCUAGUCAAGCCACUUCAACUGCGGCAUUAUGUCACACUCAUUCAAACGGCCCUCGCAGUACUCAAGGUCGAGUUUUCGUUUUUCUGAAAAUCUAUUUUAAUUUAAAUAAGUGAAGAAAAAAAGUCUUGAAGUCACCCCUAUUUCUUUUAGUUAUAACCUUAUUAAGAUGUAAAAAAAAACAUAAUUUUUCAUUCGUAAACUUCGGAGAUAAGUGGGAGAGGGUGGUAUUUUUUCCUUCAUAAGUUAUUUUUUUUUCACUAUGAAAAAAAAAAAUUGUUUUGUAAUGUUCAAUUUAAGCUUUUCCGAAUGAUAUCCGACUUGUAACUAGACUUUGAUCUUUUGCCCCCUCUUUAUAUUGGGAAUAUUCCAUAAAGAUAAUUAAAAAAAAAUACACUUUCAAUAUGUCUGGCUUAGAUAGCGUUAUUCAUUAUUAUUCCAAAUUUCAAAUCGAUAGCUUAAGUACUUCUUAAGAUAUUUAGCAAUGUAACAGACGGACGGACGGAUGGACAGAGUACGGUAGAGACGGAGGACGCACCAUAAGGGUUCCGUUUGUACCUUUUUGGUACGGAACCCUAACAAUGGUACGAUAAGUCACAGGACUAUCUCAUCUUGUUGCAUAUAGGCAAAGGGGGGAGGUGAGUUGGAUGCGUAGGAUGGAGUAAGCUACUUACCAACUUUUUUUGUAAAAAUGACGUCUCUCGUCGUUGUAACCAGACUGACGGACGGAUUUUAUAUGAAUUUCCGUCGUUGAAAGCGGUCGGUCGUUAUAUGCGAACUCGUACUAACCGGACUCUACUGUAUACCAUUCAUUUUCCUUAAAUGUACUUAGCCAUGCCCCGCAAUUAACGGAGUUUAAAAAAACACCGUCUAGAUGUCAAGAGUUAGACCAAAAUAACUCUGCAGUGAUUCUGAUGGCACAGACUGUGCAAGUGCUAUUAUAAACGUAAUAAUUUCAUACAAGUUUGACGUUUAAUAUAACACUUGCACAGUCCGAGCUAUCAAAACACUACAUAGUUAUCUCGGUCUAAAUCUGUGAAUCUACUUAUAGAGUUUUUAGCGAACCGCGAGUUCUCAGUUCGGGGGUCGGGUUGGGGCGAACUACUGGUUAUACCUAUCUGCAUAACUUAUUUAUUUUUAACAAACUAAAUGUGUUUUACUUAUUUAGACUCCGAGAAUCCUGGACUGGGAUGAAGAAACGCUGUAUGAAUUGGAAAAGAAUACUUACAUCACUAUACAGACUAAGUAUGACUCAAUCGAGUAUGUGAAAAGCAGAUAUAAGAGAAAUACUGCCUUCAUCGUGGGAAGAUUGGCUUACAAAAUACGCAAUAAAUUUUCACAGCAGAUGCAUAUGGUCCAUCGUUGCCGAACAGCCUAUAAAAACAGAUCCAUUCUGGAGCUGAUAAGGAAUGCAACAUCAUGUCAAAGAUUGUACUACGAUAUUCACGUUACGACUGAAUUGGUAAAAACAUACUAUCUAAACUACUCCACUUUUAAACUAGAAGGGGAAAACAUCGAUAUCACAAUAAAAGACACCUUACAUAAUAUUACUGUGGAUAACACUGGUACAUCCACCCCGGACGUACUACGGGAAGUUGACCCUGGAGAUGUCGAAGAUUACGAACGCCGGCGUCAUUUUGCACAAAAAUUACGUUUACCAGGCUUCCACAGUUCAAGAAAUGUACGGAAAUCUCUGAGAUUUUUGGGUAUGGCGGACCACACGCUCCGGCUUCGGCAGCUAGUUAAAAAAAGAAUAAAAUAAUUCUAAAAAUUAAACCCUGAAAUGCAUGUUUUUUUGUGUUUGAUCGAAAUUAAUAUACUUACAUGACA